UACGGAGGAUGCAGGCGUUAUCCGGAUUUAUUAGGUUUAAAGGGUGCGUAGGCGGCCCGGUUAGUCAGCGUUGAAAGUCUGCGGCUCAACCGUAGAAUUGGCAUUGAUACUGCCGGGCUUGGAUGCGGUGGAAGUAGGCGGAAUGUGCCGUGUAGCGGUGAAAUGCUUAGAUAUUGUACAGAACACCGAUUGCGAAGGCAGCUUACUAUACCGUUAUUGACGCUGAGGCACGAAAGCGCGGGGAUCGAAC
rnacentral:rRNA from 1 species